GACGAACGCUGGCGGCGUGCCUAAUACAUGCAAGUCGAACGCUGAAGAGAGGAGCUUGCUCUUCUUGGAUGAGUUGCGAACGGGUGAGUAACGCGUAGGUAACCUGCCUGGUAGCGGGGGAUAACUAUUGGAAACGAUAGCUAAUACCGCAUAAAAUUGAUUAUUGCAUGAUAAUUAAUUGAAAGAUGCAACUGCAUCACUACCAGAUGGACCUGCGUUGUAUUAGCUAGUUGGUGAGGUAACGGCUCACCAAGGCGACGAUACAUAGCCGACCUGAGAGGGUGAUCGGCCACACUGGGACUGAGACACGGCCCAGACUCCUACGGGAGGCAGCAGUAGGGAAUCUUCGGCAAUGGGGGGAACCCUGACCGAGCAACGCCGCGUGAGUGAAGAAGGUUUUCGGAUCGUAAAGCUCUGUUGUAAGAGAAGAACGGGUGUGAGAGUGGAAAGUUCACACUGUGACGGUAUCUUACCAGAAAGGGACAGCUAACUACGUG
rnacentral:rRNA from 1 species